GUCGUUGUAGUAUAGUGGUGAGUAUCCCCGCCUGUCACGCGGGAGACCUGGGUUCGAUCCCCGGCAACGGCG
rfam:Ipomoea nil DNA, scaffold: scaffold3056, cultivar: Tokyo-kokei standard.